GGCUCAGGACGAACGCUGGCGGCGUGCCUAAUACAUGCAAGUCGAACGGUCUUUUCUGUGGAAGCUUGCUUCCACUGAGAAGAUAGUGGCGAACGGGUGAGUAACACGUGGGUAACCUGCCCAUAAGAGGGGGGAUAACAUCCGGAAACGGGUGCUAAUACCGCAUAGUUUUCUUGAUCGCAUGAUCGGGAAAGGAAAGACGGCCUUUGUGCUGUCGCUUAUGGAUGGACCCGCGGCGUAUUAGUUAGUUGGUGAGGUAACGGCUCACCAAGACGAUGAUACGUAGCCGACCUGAGAGGGUGAUCGGCCACAUUGGGACUGAGACACGGCCCAAACUCCUACGGGAGGCAGCAGUAGGGAAUCUUCCGCAAUGGACGAAAGUCUGACGGAGCAACGCCGCGUGAGUGAAAGAAGGUUUUCGGAUCGUAAAACUCUGUUGUCAGAGAAGAACAAGUUGGAGAGUAACUGCUCCAGCCUUGACGGUAUCUGACCAGAAAGCCACGGCUAACUACGUGCCAGCCGCCGC
rnacentral:rRNA from 1 species